CAUACCCAAAGCCCAGUUCA
rnacentral:miRNA from 1 species